GGCGAUUGGUGAGGGAUUCGUACUAGACUGGCAGAUCGCAAAGGAGUGCGGAAAGUGUGAGGCAUCAGAAGGGCGUUGCGGUUACGACAAUUCAAAACACGAGUCGUUGUGCUUCUGCAAUGAUGGCACCAUAAAGUUUGAUACCUGCGAAUCCCAAAGUACGCAAUUUUUAACUCAUUUACAUGACUAGACUAAUUUAGUAGAUUUAAUUUACCAGAAGAUCGACCUUAUUUUCAGAUAUCUAAUUUAUAGUUUAGGUAAUAUGAUAAUGUAAAUUAUUUGAAGUUCUUAGGGUAUGAAAGUCAAAAGUCUUGUUUAUGGUAAGAACUGAGAACUUUAGUUUAGCUAUUGUCCAUCACUGUCGAAGUUAAACUUUUGGUUGGUGUAUUAUUUAUUUAUGAUCAAAUGGUUGACACAAAGAAUGAAGGACUUUUUCCUCUCAAUCCCUUUCAGGCCUUAGGUGUUAACUAGGACAGUCAUUAACAGAGAUCACACGUCAACUAUUACGGGAUUGUUCCGUUUGGCACCAAGAAUACUUUCUAAAAAUUUGGAAAAAAAUUGGGAAGUGGUGUUUGGUCAUAUAACUUGACAAAUAUAUUUUCAAGUUCCCAGAAAAAAUUAGUAUUUGGGCCAAGUUCUAAUAUUUGGAAAUUUUAAAACAUUCAAAAAAAAAAACAUUAAAAAAUUAUCCUAAAUUUUUAUAUUUUAUAAAAAAUACUCAUUAUGUAUUAAUUUCAAUUAAUAUUUGAUACUACCUAAUUAGUAAAAAAAAAUUAAAUUAAAUUUGGAUUGAUAUUAUUUUUAGACCAAAAAGUGAAAGGAGGGAUAUUUUUGAACCAAAAACAAUGUUGGAGGGUAAUUUUAGACCAAAAGAUGGAAGAAGAAUAUUUAUGAACCAUUUCCAAUAGAUUAGGAAUAUUCUUGACCAUUUUCCUUUUUUACAAAUAUAUUCUACCAAACGAUCCCUAAGCUGACUUUAGAAUUUUGACUUUGUCUGAAAAUUAGUCCUAUCAGUAUCUGGACGGAAAUUAUUUAUUUUGCUGCUCAAUAAUUGCGUGAGAUUACUUUUAUCUCAUAAGUGAAUUCGUAUUUUACAGUUUUGAAUACACAUAAUUUGGGUCCUAUAUAUUUGUAAGAUAAAAAGAAAUUUCAUAUAACUAUAUAUCAAUUAUAUGAAGUAAAAAUAAAUAAAAUUCAUAUCAACAUUAAUGCGUCGUCUAAACCAAAAUAAAUUUGGUUUGGUUUUUCUCUUUUUGGUUUGGGUUUUUUCGGUUCGGUUAAUCGGUUAUGUCAAUAAUUAGAAACAUAACAAAGUUAUAUUUGCAAUUUUAAAAAUAAAAUAAAAUAUAUAUAUUAUAUUGAAUUUCUUAAAUAUAAUUUUUAAUAUAAAUCACAAGUAAAACGUAAAACACAAUACUUAAAAGUAUAUGAAUUAUAGAUGUCCAAACAUAAAAAUUAAACUAAACCAUAAUGAAAAUAACUAAAAAGGGACAAAAGUGGUUAACAUCUAACAAUGUGUCCAACUCAAUUUUUCUUCAUCUCUCUUCUUCUUCUGUUCAUAAUCAACUCCAGUAGAGCUGAUAAUACUACGCCAUUUGGUUAUUGCCCUUCAUCUUUUUGCGAUAAUGGACUCAAUAUUUCAUAUCCUUUUUGGAGACUUGACAACUACCACUCCACCUCUCCACAAUACUGUGGUUAUCCAGGAUUUGGGAUCAAUUGCUCUCAAUUGAAUUCAAUUCUGUACAUUUCUGAUGACUCUUUCAAUGUUACGAAGAUUGAUUACAAUAACCUCUCCCUUACCCUGGUGGAUAUUGAUGGUGUUGAUCACAGAGGAUGCCCGAGAGUACAUCAUAACCUUACUCUGGAUGACGACUUUCCAUUGGAAUAUUCGAAGCUUGAUUUGUACCUUAAUUUCUACUACAACUGUACCGUUUCCCUUCCAGAUUCUGCUGAUCGGUUAGAUUGCUUAACAUCAAGAGGAAACUAUUCAUAUUUUUAUGUUGGGGAUCAUGAGCCGGAAGAUUUGAAGUGGUAUGGAAUUUGUGAGAAGAAAGUGGUGGUGCCGGUGAUGGAGGGUGGGUUGAUGAGAGGAGUUGGUGCGGCGAUUGGUGAGGGAUUCGUACUAGACUGGCAGAUCGCAAAGGAGUGCGGAAAGUGUGAGGCAUCAGAAGGGCGUUGCGGUUACGACAAUUCAAAACAUGAGUCGUUGUGCUUCUGCAAUGAUGGCACCAUAAAGUUUGAUACCUGCGAAUCCCAAAGUACGCAAUUUUUAACUCAUUUACAUGACUAGACUAAUUUAGUAGAUUUAAUUUACCAGAAGAUCGACCUUAUUUUCAGAUAUCUAAUUUAU
rnacentral:lncRNA from 1 species